rnacentral:lncRNA from 1 species
UUGUAAAUAAAGGCAAUAGUAGUAUACCGCUGUUCAAAACUCAUAAAUCCAUGGACAAAAAACAAAAUCGGGGUAACAAACUUAAACCGAGGGAAACGCAUUAAAUAUAAAGAGAAGAACAACGACACAACACUAAAAUGUAACACACACAGAAACGGACCAAGCAUCAGACAAAAUCCCACGAGAAUAACAAAUAUAACAUCAAAACCAAAUACAUGAAUUUGAGAUAGACAAGUACCGUGACACGUCUUAUCGCAAU